UGGGGAAUAUUGGGCAAUGGGCGCAAGCCUGACCCAGCCAUGCCGCGUGAGUGAUGAAGGCCUUCGGGUCGUAAAGCUCUGUGGGGAGGGAAGAAACGCCAGACGCUAACAAGGUCUGGAACUGACGGUACCUCCUUAGCAAGCACCGGCUAACUCCGUGCCAGCAGCCGCGGUAAUACGGAGGGUGCAAACGUUGCUCGGAAUCAUUGGGCGUAAAGCGCACGUAGGCGGCGCGUUAAGUCGGGUGUGAAAUCCCUGGGCUCAACCCAGGAAGUGCAUUCGAAACUGGCGGGCUUGAGUAUGGAAGAGGGCCGCGGAAUUCCCGGUGUAGAGGUGAAAUUCGUAGAUAUCGGGAGGAACACCAGUGGCGAAGGCGGCGGCCUGGGCCAAUACUGACGCUGAGGUGCGAAAGCGUGGGGAGCGAAACAGGAUUAGAUACCCUGGUAGUCCACGCUGUAAACGAUGGAUGCUAGGUGUUGUGGGUAUUGACCCCUGCAGCGACCG
rnacentral:rRNA from 1 species